UGUUUUAAAGGCCUGUGUCGCGUGUCAAAAUAAAUUCCGAUUUCAUAUAUUUUAAAUACCAAUCAUUAAAAAAAUAUUUGAACUAUAUAUAUAUUUUAAAAAUUUUAUUUCGUUCAUACUUAAAAGAUGUCAACUAGUUUUGCAUGCAAAGAUUCUUUUUUAUCAUUUGAAGAUUUAAAAUCAACUACUAAGAAAUAUGAAGAUUCUCAUUUUGUGCAGUUGUGGAUUCGUGACGCCAAAACAAUUAAAGCUGCUAGAAAAACCAUUCCAAGAAUAGCUGCUAUAAUAGCUCCACAGAUAAAGUAUUACUAUAUAAAGUAUAGCUGUAUAUAUAUGGUGGAAAAAAAUUUACAAAUAAAGGCAAUGGAAAACGUCAAACUUCGACUUAUAAGAAAGAGUGUCCAUUCUUCUUAAGUUUUAAAGCAUCAGAAGAUAGGCAAACAUUAAUUUUGUAAGAUUUAAAACAUAAUCAUAAUCAUGAAGUAUCUGAAGUAAGUUAUAAUUACUUAUAAUAUUUAUGAUAAAAUGUUCUUAAAUAUGUGAAUUAAAUUCUUGAAAUAUCCUGCAAUCUAAUUUUGUGACUAAUAUUUUAAUCAAAUUUUGUGACUAAUAUUUUCUAGAAAGGUAUUGUGGUUAGUAACCAUGUUAGAUUAUAUGUUGUAUAUAUUUUCUUGAUUAUAAUAAAUAAAAUAAUUGCUUUUAAAAAUAGAUUUUGUAUAAGCACUUACCAAAUCAAAGAAAACUUCCUAAUUAUGCUGUUGCAAAAGCAGAAAACUUGUUACGCUUAAAAGCUACUUCAACGUGAAUUGUCAAAGGAGACUGUAAAAAUGAUAACUCUUCGUGACUUAUCAAAUAUUGCUGCUUCUGCACACAAAAGUGAUACACGAAAUAGUUUAACAAGUUUUGUUAAGACUUCAAAGGAAAAAUACAUUAAGAAAGUCAUAAAACAAAAGUUUUUUUUGUAAAGAAUUAUAUGUUUUAACGGAUGCCGAAGAUAAUUUACAAGGGCUUUUUUUCCAAGAUAUUUCAAUGCAUAGCGCUUACAAUGCAUAUCCUGAAUUUUUAUGCAUGGAUGCAACAUAUUGUUAGAAAUUCGUCUGCCAGUAUAUAUUCUGCUAUGCGAAGAUGGAGCUGGUGAAAGUGAAAUAGCCACUGUAGGUUUGCUAACACAUGAAGAUGCUGCAUCUCUCAAUUGGUUCAUUGAAAGAUUUAAGAGUUACAAUAUUUCUUGGCCAAAGCCAAAUGUCUUCAUGACAGAUAAAGACUUGACAAAGAGGCGUAUUGUGUGGUGCUUUUCCAGGGGUUUCUUCAUUACUCUGUUUAUUUCAUACCUGCAAACUUUUAGUCGUGAAAUUACAACUGUCAAACUUGGGAUUACUAGUGGGGAGCGAAUUUCAUCUCUAGAAUUUAUUCAGAAAUUAGCUUACGCAACCUCAGAGGAAAAUUAUGACGAGUUGUAUAGACUAUUUGUUUCAUCAGCUUCUUCCACUGUUAUAGACUAUUAUAACAACAAUUGGCAUAAUAUUAGUGAUGAGUGGGUUUUUGGUUUGAAAUUUGUCAGUGGCAACCUCAUGAAUAGCACCAAUAAACGUCUAGAAAAUUUCAAUGGAAAGUUAAAAGAAGUUAUUGACUACAACAGCUCGUUAAAAGACUUCCUUGGUAAAUUCUAUGUUGUUUUAACAUCUAUGCGUAAUGAAAGGUAUCAUAAGACAAUUUUCCAAAUGCAAAAAGUUUCUAUUGAUGUAUUUGAUCCCAAUUCUGCUGAAGCAGCUUAUAAAAAUUUUUUGACAUCGUAUGCUGCUCAACAUGUUCUAAAGCAGAUGAGCUUGUUUAAAGAAGUUACAUUAUUACCAGGAGAACAUGGCCAAUUCAUAGCGAACAGCCAUGAAGGUAUUCAUACAGUGACUUCAAAUUUUUGUUCUUGUAUGUUUCAAAAGUCAAUGAAUUUACCAUGUCGUCACAUCUUUGCAGCUCACCAGAUGCUUGGGAUAAAUUUGUUUGAUACUGAAUUGUGUUCCGAGAGGUGGACAUUACAGUACUAUUGUCGACAUCAACGAGCCUUUGAUACCCCAGUCAUGGUUGAAAAGUGUGCAACUGUAGAUUUUCAUGUCGCUCCAAAAAUUAAAGUGUAUUCUCAGCAUGAGAAAAUUAAACUUGCCGUACAAGAGACAUCAUUUCUUGCUACUCUUGUAUCUGAAUUCACAGGUCAGACACUUGAGCAGCGUCUCAGUCUUUUGCGAGCUUUAAGUAAAGGUUGGGCAAAUGGAAAGGUCAUGGUAAUUAAUGAACUUAUUGAAGAAGAUGAUUUAGUAACAUCUAAAAAAAUAUCUAAACAAGCGGGAACAUCAUCAAUACCAGCAAAAUUAAUUGUUUCUGAUGCUGUUAAUUUAACGUUUUCUGCAGUUUGAACAGGUAGCUUAAUUGACUUACCUAUCAGUGUUGAUGUAUCAACCUUACCAGCGAGUAAUUGUUCAACAAAUGCUUAUUCUAUUACGAGUGCAUCUAAAAAUGUCGUCAACACAAUUUCAAUUAAUUCAUUAAGAUGUGCAGCAAAUGUGAACAGUGAAGUCACUUUAAUAGCUCCAUAAGUACUUAAUAAAAAAAGUUUAUCUGUGGCACAGGUAGGUGCCCAAUAUGAAACUUUAAAUAACAACUAUUUAUCAGAGCAAGCUGAAAUUGUAGAAAAAGCACCAUAUCAGCAAGAAGAGUUGACAUCUGGGAGGAGUAAUGCAGAUGCAGAUGAUGUCCGUAAAGCUCUUUCUGGCAUACUUAUACAGAGUAAUUGCAUAGAAAAAAGAGUGAAUUGUAUUUCUUCAGCUGUUCUUGAUGAAAGUGCACUUGGAUCUCUUUUGUCUCUGCAAUCAUAUUUUACUUCAGACGGGUGUAAAGUGCUUAAUAAAAUAAUUGAUAUCAAAUCUCAGCAACGAAUUUGGCCUUGUGCAGUGUGCCAAAAAAGUAUAUCUGUGGGCAAUGACAUUGGGGGCUCAAUAGCGUGUGGUUCCUGCCUUUUGUAGUUUCACAAAAAAUGUGUUGACAAGAAAGAGGCUUGGUGUAUUAAAUCAAAAUAUUGGUUUUGCCGCUUUUGCUAAAUUGUUUUAAGAAUGAUGUGCAAUAGUUAUUUUAUUUUAUUUUACUUGGUAUUAAAUGUUUUACUUUAUAUUUACUUUUUGUGUCUGAUCUGUUUUAAACAUUUUUGCAAAUGAGUAAGUAGCAAUAUUUGUAUUCAGUUUUAAUAUUUUUUAGGAUGCCAAAUUGUGUUUAAUUUCCCAACUGUUAUUAGAAGUAUUAUUAUUAUUAUUAAUAAUAAUUGUUAUUAUUUUUUAUUUUUCAAUCCUUUAAAUAUUUCCAAAAUUUGCAAUAAUGUCCAAUUUGGUAUAAGAUAGUCAAGUUACAGAUGAUUGGGUAUGAGCAUGUAGGACGCUAAUACGCUUCAUGAUAAUGACAAUCAUAAUGAUGAUCAUAAUGAUGGUGAUGAUAAUGAUGAUGAGGUUAUGAUGACUUAGUUGCUUAUUUUUUCAAGCUGAUGAAAUUUUCUUUUGUUGUUUAUAAUAUGUUUUUAGUUUUAGAAAUUUGACUUAAGCUAAGCUAUUGCCUUGACUUUUUGUUAUUAAUAUAGGUUUUACUAUUUUAUAAGCUGGUUAACUAUUACCACUAUUUAAUGAAUGUAAAUAAGUUGAAAAAGUUGUGUGAAAACAAUUUAGACUGCUUGAUUUUAAAUAACUUAAAAAAACCUAUUAAAAUU
rnacentral:misc_RNA from 1 species